GUCAGUUUGGCCGAGUGGUUAUGGCGUGUGACUCAAGCGAUUCUUCCGAAGAGCUUCUCAUCACUACGAUAGAGAGUAUUCUCAUGUGCUUUGCACGCAAGGGUUCGAAUCCCUUAGCUGACA